rnacentral:rRNA from 1 species
AUUGAACGCUGGCGGCAGGCCUAACACAUGCAAGUCGAACGAGUGGCGGACGGGUGAUUAAUGUCUGGGAAACUGCCUGAUGGAGGGGGAUAACUACUGGAACCGGUAGCUAAUACCGCAUACCAUCAGAUGUGCCCAGAUUGGAUUAGCUAGUUGGUGGGGUAACGGCUCACGAAGGCGACGAUCACGAGCUGGUCUGAGAGGAUGACCAGCCAAACUGUAACUGAGACACGGUCAAGACUCAUACGGGAGGCAGCAGUGGGGAAUAUUGCACAAUGGGGGCAAGCCUGAUGCAGCGAUGCCGAGUGUAUGAAGAAGGCCUUCGGGUUGUAAAGUACUUUCAGCGGGGAGGCGUUACCCGCAGAAGAAGCACCGGCUAACUCCGUGCCAGCAGCCGCGGUAAUUC